rnacentral:rRNA from 1 species
GGAGGGUGCAAGCGUUAUCCGGAAUCACUGGGUUUAAAGGGUGCGUAGGCGGACCGGUAAGUCAGGGGUGAAAGGCCACCGCUCAACGGUGGAAUUGCCUUUGAUACUACGAGGUCUUGAAUUGGGUUGAGGUGAGCGGAAUGCGGCAUGUAGCGGUGAAAUGCAUAGAUAUGCCGUAGAACACCGAUUGCGUAGGCAGCUCACUGGCCCUUGAUUGACGCUGAGGCACGAAAGCGUGGGGAGCGAACAGGAUUAGAUACCCUGGUAGUCCACGCCCUAAACGAUGUUUACUCGAUAUUGGCUACUUAGUGGUCAGUGUCCAAGGGAAACCGAUAAGUAAACCACCUGGGGAGUACGUUCGCAAGAAUG